rnacentral:rRNA from 1 species
AGUGAACGCUGGCGGUAGGCCUAACACAUGCAAGUCGAACGGCAGCACAGUAAGAGCUUGCUCUUACGGGUGGCGAGUGGCGGACGGGUGAGGAAUACAUCGGAAUCUACUUUUUCGUGGGGGAUAACGUAGGGAAACUUACGCUAAUACCGCAUACGACCUACGGGUGAAAGCAGGGGAUCUUCGGACCUUGCGCGAUUGAAUGAGCCGAUGUCGGAUUAGCUAGUUGGCGGGGUAAAGGCCCACCAAGGCGACGAUCCGUAGCUGGUCUGAGAGGAUGAUCAGCCACACUGGAACUGAGACACGGUCCAGACUCCUACGGGAGGCAGCAGUGGGGAAUAUUGGACAAUGGGCGCAAGCCUGAUCCAGCCAUACCGCGUGGGUGAAGAAGGCCUUCGGGUUGUAAAGCCCUUUUGUUGGGAAAGAAAAGCAGCAGGUUAAUACCCCGCUGUUCUGACGGUACCCAAAGAAUACGCACCGGCUAACUUCGUG